UACGAACCGUGCGAACGUUGUUCGGAAUCACUGGGCAUAAAGGGCGCGUAGGCGGCUUUUCAAGUCAGGGGUGAAAUCCGGCAGCUUAACUGUCGAAGUGCCUUUGAUACUGGGAAGCUCGAGGGAGGUAGGGGUGUGUGGAACUUCCGGUGGAGCGGUGAAAUGCGUUGAUAUCGGAAGGAACGCCGGUGGCGAAAGCGACGCACUGGACCUAUUCUGACGCUGAGGCGCGAAAGCCAGGGGAGCAAACGGG
rnacentral:rRNA from 1 species